UGUGGGAGCGGGCUUGCUCGCGAUGCAGGCUACACGGUUUGCCAGGCAAACCGAGGUGAUGCCAUCGCGAGCAAGCUCGCUCCCUCA
rnacentral:misc_RNA from 1 species